rnacentral:rRNA from 1 species
UACGUAGGGUGCGAGCGUUGUCCGGAAUUAUUGGGCGUAAAGAGCUCGUAGGCGGUCUGUCGCGUCUGCUGUGAAAACCCGAGGCUCAACCUCGGGCCUGCAGUGGGUACGGGCAGGCUAGAGUUCGGCAGGGGAGACUGGAAUUCCUGGUGUAGCGGUGAAAUGCGCAGAUAUCAGGAGGAACACCGGUGGCGAAGGCGGGUCUCUGGGCCGAUACUGACGCUGAGGUGCGAAAGCGUGGGGAGCAAACAGG